rnacentral:sRNA from 1 species
AAUAAAACAACUAAAACACACAACAUUAAUUUGCAUUUAGUGUAGAGGAAUAUGUUAACAAGAGAAUUGUCAUGUUUGAUAUUAAGAAAGUAUGCUUUGAAUUAAAUUCAAAUGAUAGUAGAGUGAGGUUAGGUGUCAAUUUAAGAAAAAUCGCCGUUGUUCUUUUUUUCGAAAAUCUCAAUGGCUCAAUUUAAAUCAGGUGGUAGUAGAGUGAGGUAAGGUGUCAAUUUAAGAAAAUUAUUUUUUCGAAAAUCUGAAUGGCUCAAUUUGUAUCAGGUGAUAUCCUCUUUUGGCUGUGUUAAAAAAUCUCUAGAAUUGGCAGAUAUUGAAUUCACUCUGUAUUAUCCUAUUGGCCGGGUGUCUGUCGCAUGCGGGCUUAAUAAAGAAUGUUUAGAGUUAACUUUUUAAAUCGAUUUAUAUACUUGAUUUUUAUGACAAAACAAUGUGGGCUUUGCCAAAAAAAGUUGUAGUAAAGUGAGGUUAGGUUUCAAUUUAGGAAAAUUUUUUGAUGUUCUGUUUCGAAAAGUGUGAAGGAACAAAGUGAAUCAGGAAGUCAAACGCAACUGCUGACAUAUUCUGGAGGCAAUACGACCAGUUUCCUGUAAAAAGUUAGCGGUUACUCAACUCUCCCUAACGAUGUUUGACCUAAAACUUGGUUGGUUGUUUGGGAUAAUGUCAGAUCGCACUGAAGGAAGUAAUUGUUGAUUGUGGCUAAGUAUUCGGAUAGCUUAGCAUUUACUUCAUUCAUCUUAGAAUUUACGUCUAACAACCUUCCUCCCUAUUUUGGAUUAUGUCCUAUGGUAUACGUUUGCUCUCCAUGAAUAUAUCUAGUUCCUGAUAUAUACCUGAAAUCCAGAAAGGGAAAAAUGACACGGAUGGCUCGUUUGGGAUAAUGGAAGAAGGAAGUAAUUAUUGAUUGUGGUUAAGUAGACAAAAAGCUUAGCAUUUACUACUUCAUCCAGGCUAACACUUGUUGCAUUGGUCAUUAGCGUAUGAUACAAUUGAGACGUCCCCUGGUGCACUUGGGAAUUUCGAAAAAAUAACAAAGAUUGAAAAAAUGCAUUAUGGACUCCAUCGUGUGGUAUUCCUAUUUAUAUUUUGCGAUAUUCGGACCAAUCCUUUCCUUUGGAUUGACAUUCACUUCAUCGGAACUUAGCAAUGCAUUAUCAGAGUUGCCACAAUUGUCUGGAAACAUUUGUGACCAUAAUCCUAAAAGAGAACCGUAAUGGAAAGUUCAAAGGAGGGUGGAACCCUUGGCGACGAAACCACAAGAAGAAGAAGAAGAAGAAGACAUCUUAGCCAAUCAAUUUUGUUGGUAUCACUUUGAAAGUCUUGCCACAACAUCUUACAUAAGCUCUGACACAGCAAAAGAAAACCACCCACAACCUAAUCUGCGAAGGCAACAACUUCUUUUGCACGCAAUGUAUCUAAGACCUUGUGCUUUCCAUUAACCCCCAGAAACCAUAAAGCAGGGAAAUAACACUGUUGACUGAUUUCCUUAUGGAAUUCUCUGCUAUGCUGGAGUUGAUAAGUUUGCUUCCGAAAAAAUUCUACAAAUCGAAGGAAUUACAAGGAAGGAUGGCUAAUGUGUAUUUAAAGACAACCUUUCAAGACAUUGGAAGAAAUUGAAAAGUUACUCUCUUCUUUCUUCUUCUUUACAAAUGCCCAUAGAAUAGCCUUUAAGAGAUCUCAUUCCCAUAAAGGAUAUUGUCAUUUAAUUUACAUUGAUUUUCAGUAUUGCUGAGAGGCCUCUAGUCCUUAUUUUGUUUUUAGCGAUUACCAGUAUAACAGUGUUGGGUUGUUUGUUCAGGAUACCAUAGUAUUUUGUUGUUGCAAAAUGGUCAGGCUUAAUGCCUUGUAUAGGUAAUGAAAACACUUUCGAGAGUACUUUGCCUUAAAGAGAUCCUUUAAAAAAGUCCUUAAAAGUGCCUUCCAUCUAAAAAUAAACUUUUGAAUUUCUUGUAAAUAUUUUUUGGAAAAGUUUUCAUUAGAAAAGGAAAGAUUUUUCAUCAAAAGAAGGCAUUUUAAAAAUACUUCAAUCUAUAGCAGUGCACUUGAAAAAGACCUCCAUCUCAUCAGAAAACCUCUUUUGAAUGAAAAUUCUAUCUAUAAAAAUCUGCUGAAGAAUUUUUGGGUUUUGAAGGCACUUUGAAAUGUCUUUUAUCUUUAAAAAAAGGUCUUCAGUCUUCCUAGCUUGAAGGAAUUACCCAAUAAAGGAUGUUUAGAUAUUUUUCUCUCUUUUUAAGCGUUACAUAAUUCUUGAGAUUAUGUGUGAAAAUGUUCCACGUCUUCUUCUAAUUCUUUUUGUAAGCUUAUCAUUUACGAAAAAAAAUCUCUAGAAGUUGGAAUGCCUUUAGAAAACCAUGUAACACUUCAUAUCACACCUGAAUAAGAAAUUUAAUUUCAUAACCUCACUUUUUUCAAUAAUCUUCAGAUGUGAAUUUCAGUAAUGAAAAGUGGCUAUUUGCAGAAUGAAAAUUCCAACAAGUAUUAUUUUA